CCUACGGGUGGCAGCAGUGGGGAAUAUUGGACAAUGGGCGAAAGCCUGAUCCAGCCAUGCCGCGUGUGUGAAGAAGGCCUUCGGGUUGUAAAGCACUUUCAGUGGGGAAGAAAGCCUUGGGGCUAAUACCCUCGAGGAAGGACAUCACCCACAGAAGAAGCACCGGCUAACUCCGUGCCAGCAGCCGCGGUAAUACGGAGGGGGCGAGCGUUAAUCGGAAUUACUGGGCGUAAAGCGCGCGUAGGCGGUCUGAUAAGCCGGUUGUGAAAGCCCCGGGCUCAACCUGGGAACGGCAUCCGGAACUGUCAGGCUAGAGUGAAGGAGAGGAAGGUAGAAUUCCCGGUGUAGCGGUGAAAUGCGUAGAGAGCGGGAGGAAUACCAGUGGCGAAGGCGGCCUUCUGGACUGACACUGACGCUGAGGUGCGAAAGCGUGGGUAGCAAACAGGAUUAGAUACCCGGUAGUC
rnacentral:rRNA from 1 species